AUAACUUUUCAGUCGACACAUCGCCUCCGACAAAACCGUCUACGCAAUGCUCAUAAAUUUUCAAAAAUAGUCAACAUUCAAAACUCUCAGUAUAAACACAACAAAAUUUUCGGUUCCCUAAUUUAUAUUUUGUAUAUUGUGCAUCAAAGACCCCAGAAUCAGCUGGGAAUGGCAGAUCGUCGACGAGUGAACCCCCUACAACCGGACAUCGUUGCCGUGCAUUCCCAGCCGUCGCAUGCCUUGCUGCUGUGCAGCAUUCGAAUCCCACCAGAUGGUUAGCCAGCAGUUCCAUGUCCAGUCACAGGUCACAGUCCAGGAGUGCAAGGUCAGGAGUGCUCCAGCAGAAGCCUCUCGUGGUUGAAUGCCCCACCAGUCGGGAAAUCCCUUGGCCCAGGACCUCUUCCAAGACUAGUGGAGUUGUUGUUGAUCGCUUCAGUGCUCAAAAGCGCGCUUUGAGGCUGUACCCCUGCUCGAGGUCAUCCGCAAGAUAGCCUUCCUUUUCGACCAGAGUAAGGGCACCAUCGUCCCAGGCCUGGUGCUGGUCCCAGUGCUGGCAUCUUGCAGAUCAGCGGAAUCCUCGGAGUUCCGAUGAAGAAUACCGCCCGGAUAGCCUUGACUGUGGCGCGUAACUUUAUCGAGAAACGAGAUUUAAACAAUCAGUACCCAGAGCUGGAGGUGGAGUCCGAUUAGAAGCUGCUCGUGGAACCUGCAUGGUCCUGACUGCGCAGUGCUGGCAUCACUAAAAUCCUUAAUCCAUUAGUGCUGGAUAGCUGCAAGGCAAAUUUCUGCCCUUUGGAGACUUCAAGGCGAAAGGGCCAAGCUGUAACCAGAUCAGGGAUCAUUAUACCUGAUUUUUUUGUGCUAUUUUGAGUGCUACGAACCGUCAGAGGUCGUCCUGAGAAGAACACACGGCUUUUGAAAGGGUGUUAUAUGAAAAAUACAUUUAAUUUUGAAAA
rnacentral:sRNA from 1 species